rnacentral:rRNA from 1 species
UACAGAGGUCUCAAGCGUUGUUCGGAUUCAUUGGGCGUAAAGGGUGCGUAGGUGGCGCUGUAAGUCGGGUGUGAAAUUUCGGAGCUUAACUCCGAAACUGCAUUCGAUACUGCGGUGCUUUGAGGACUGGGAGAGGAGACUGGAAUUCAUGGUGUAGCAGUGAAAUGCGUAGAGAUCAUGAGGAAGACCAGUGGCGAAGGCGGGUCUCUGGACAGUUCCUGACACUGAGGCACGAAGGCCAGGGGAGCAAACGGG